AGGGUGUAAACGCUGCAGACUUGGUGUUGGGGGCCCUUUGGGGGCAUUCAGUGCCGGAGAGAAGUUGUUAAGUCUGCUACUUGGGGAGUACGUCCGCAAGGAUGAAACUUAAAGGAAUUGGCGGGGGAGCACCGCAACAGGAGGAGCGUGCGGUUUAAUUGGAUUCAACACCGUAAAACUCACCAGGGAAGACUGUUACAUGAAGGCCGAGAUGAAGACUCUGCUAGAUUUUCAGAGAGGAGGUGCAUGGCGUCAGUGACU
rnacentral:rRNA from 1 species